CUACGGGAUGCAGCAGUGGGGAAUAUUGCACAAUGGGGGAAACCCUGAUGCAGCGACGCCGCGUGAAGGAUGAAGGAUUUUGGUUCGUAAACUUCUAUCAGCAGGGAAGAUAGUGACUGUACCUGACUAAGAAGCCCCGGCUAACUACGUGCCAGCAGCCGCGGUAAUACGUAGGGGGCAAGCGUUAUCCGGAAUUACUGGGUGUAAAGGGUGCGUAGGCGGCUGAUUAAGCCAGAUGUGAAAGCCCGGGGCUCAACCUCGGGACUGCAUUUGGAACCGGUCGGCUAGAAUACAGGAGAGGUAAGUGGAAUUCCUAGUGUAGCGGUGAAAUGCGUAGAUAUUAGGAGGAACACCAGUGGCGAAGGCGACUUACUGGACUGUUAUUGACGCUGAGGCACGAAAGCGUGGGGAGCGAACAGGAUUAGAUACCCCCGUAGUC
rnacentral:rRNA from 1 species